rnacentral:rRNA from 1 species
UACGAAGGGGGCUAGCGUUGCUCGGAAUCACUGGGCGUAAAGGGUGCGUAGGCGGCUUGGUAAGUUGGGUGUGAAAGCCCCGGGCUCAGCCCGGGAAGGGCACUCGAAACUGCCGAGCUGGAGUGCCGGAGGGGAGAGUGGAAUUCCUGGUGUAGCGGUGAAAUGCGCAGAUAUCAGGAAGAACACCCGUGGCGAAGGCGGCUCUCUGGGACGGUACUGACGCUGAGACGCGAAAGCGUGGGGAGCGAACAGG